AGAGUUUGAUCCUGGCUCAGGACGAACGCUGGCGGCGUGCUUAACACAUGCAAGUCGCGCGAUUCUCGAAGUUCGGGGUUGGGAGUUCGAACCUCGAACUUCGAACCUCGAACUUCGAGAAUAGCGGCGGACGGGUGAGUAACACGUGGAUAACCUACCCAUUAGACCGGGAUAACACCGGGAAACUGGUGCUAAUACCGGAUAAGCUCUUUAGAGUAAAAGCCUUAAAGAGGAAAGGGGAAACUCACUAAUGGAUGGGUCCGCGUCCUAUUAGCUAGUUGGUAGGGUAACGGCCUACCAAGGCGACGAUGGGUAGCCGGCCUGAGAGGGUGACCGGCCACACUGGGACUGAGACACGGCCCAGACUCCUACGGGAGGCAGCAGUGGGGAAUAUUCCGCAAUGGGGGAAACCCUGACGGAGCAAUGCCGCGUGAGUGAAGAAGGCCUUUGGGUCGUAAAACUCUGUCUUGAGGGACGAAAAAAAUGACGGUACCUCAAAAGAAAGCCCCGGCUAACUACGUGCCAGCAGCCGCGGUAAAACGUAGGGGGCGAGCGUUGUCCGGAAUUACUGGGCGUAAAGGGCGUGUAGGCGGCCUGUGUAGUCAAGUGGUGAAAAACCCGGGGCUUAACUUCGGGAUGGCCCUUGAAACCAACAGGCUUGAGGACAGGAGAGGGGAGUGGAAUUUCCGGUGUAGCGGUGAAAUGCGUAGAUACCGGAAGGAACACCAGUGGCGAAGGCGGCUCCCUGGACUG
rnacentral:rRNA from 1 species